rnacentral:rRNA from 1 species
GGUUAAGCGACUAAGCGUACACGGUGGAUGCCCUGGCAGUCAGAGGCGAUGAAGGACGUGCUAAUCUGCGAUAAGCGUCGGUAAGGUGAUAUGAACCGUUAUAACCGGCGAUUUCCGAAUGGGGAAACCCAGUGUGUUUCGACACACUAUCAUUAACUGAAUCCAUAGGUUAAUGAGGCGAACCGGGGGAACUGAAACAUCUAAGUACCCCGAGGAAAAGAAAUCAACCGAGAUUCCCCCAGUAGCGGCGAGCGAACGGGGAGCAGCCCAGAGCCUGAAUCAGUGUGUGUGUUAGUGGAAGCGUCUGGAAAGGCGCGCGAUACAGGGUGACAGCCCCGUACACAAAAAUGCACAUACUGUGAGCUCGAUGAGUAGGGCGGGACACGUGGUAUCCUGUCUGAAUAUGGGGGGACCAUCCUCCAAGGCUAAAUACUCCUGACUGACCGAUAGUGAACCAGUACCGUGAGGGAAAGGCGAAAAGAACCCCGGCGAGGGGAGUGAAAAAGAACCUGAAACCGUGUACGUACAAGCAGUGGGAGCACGCUUAGGCGUGUGACUGCGUACCUUUUGUAUAAUGGGUCAGCGACUUAUAUUCUGUAGCAAGGUUAACCGAAUAGGGGAGCCGAAGGGAAACCGAGUCUUAACUGGGCGUUAAGUUGCAGGGUAUAGACCCGAAACCCGGUGAUCUAGCCAUGGGCAGGUUGAAGGUUGGGUAACACUAACUGGAGGACCGAACCGACUAAUGUUGAAAAAUUAGCGGAUGACUUGUGGCUGGGGGUGAAAGGCCAAUCAAACCGGGAGAUAGCUGGUUCUCCCCGAAAGCUAUUUAGGUAGCGCCUCGUGAAUUCAUCUCCGGGGGUAGAGCACUGUUUCGGCAAGGGGGUCAUCCCGACUUACCAACCCGAUGCAAACUGCGAAUACCGGAGAAUGUUAUCACGGGAGACACACGGCGGGUGCUAACGUCCGUCGUGAAGAGGGAAACAACCCAGACCGCCAGCUAAGGUCCCAAAGUCAUGGUUAAGUGGGAAACGAUGUGGGAAGGCCCAGACAGCCAGGAUGUUGGCUUAGAAGCAGCCAUCAUUUAAAGAAAGCGUAAUAGCUCACUGGUCGAGUCGGCCUGCGCGGAAGAUGUAACGGGGCUAAACCAUGCACCGAAGCUGCGGCAGCGACGCUGAUGCGUUGUUGGGUAGGGGAGCGUUCUGUAAGCCUG